ensembl:lncRNA
GGGCCACACCCACGGCAUACGGAAGUUCCCAGGCUAGGGGUCGAAUUGGAGCUGUAGCUGCCGGCCUACACCACAGCCACAGCAACGCGGGAUCUGAGCUGUGUAUGUGACCUACACCACAGCUCCCAGCAACACCGGAUCCUUCACCCACUAGGCGAGGCCAGGGAUGGAACCUGCGUCCUCAUGGAUACUAGUCGGGUUCGUUUCCGCUGAGCCACAACAGGAACUCCCGUGAAAAGGAUUUUUUAAACAUCUUUUUUGUGUACAUCUUUGAAAGCUCCCAACUUGAAGGUAUCCACUAGUUCCUUUGUGCUGCUAUAACAAAAUACCACAGACCGGGUGUCUUAAACAACAGAUAUUCAUCUCCCACUGUUCUGGGAGCGGGUGAGUCUGAGAUCAGGGUGCUGGCAGGGCCAGGUGCUGGUGAGGGCUCUCUUCCUGGCUCACAGCCGGGUACCUUCUCACUGCAUCCUCACAGAGUGAAGAGGGACCUCUAGUAUCUUUACUUUUUCCAACGCCAACGGCAUACGAAAGUCCGAGGGCCAGGGACUGAAUCUGAGCUGCAGCUGCAACCUGUGCUGCAGCUGCAGCAAUGCUGGAUCCUUUAACCCACUGUGCCAUGCCGUGCCUCUGCAGUGACCUGAGCUGCUGCGGUUGGCUCCCUAACCCACUGAGCCACAGGGAGAACUCCUGGCAUCUUUUCCUUUACACGCAUGGGCACUAAUCCCAUUAGGGGGGUUCCACCCUCAUGGCCUCAGUGAACCAUCCUUACCUUCCUGAAUCCCCACCUCCCAAUUCCAUCCCCCUGGGGGUUAGGGCUUCAACGUAUGGACCUGCAGGGGUGGGUACAAACAUGUAGCCUAUAGCUCCAUCUCCAAACCCACUGACCAACACAAGGAUGCCUUGUGAGGACGGAACAUGAGUACCCAAGCCGUAAAAUGUAUCUGUUUGAUAAGUGAGUUCCCCAAGACCUGAAUCACAUUCAUUCAAGUCCUUACAUUCAUGAAGCCAAAGGUACUUCCGGCCUCCUCAUUCUAGGGAAGAGUCUCAGGCCCAGACAAAGUGACUGGCUCCAGGCCACCCUGCUGACGUGAGCCAGAACUGAGUCUUGAACCUGAGGGUCUGGUCUCCUUGGCGGUCCACGUUCAGGUGGUUGCUCUGUGGCACAAGCAAUAAGUGCCUGGAGCCUGGGAAUCCUUUCAUUCUAUGAGCCUGUAGUUUCAACAUCCUAUUUUCUGGAAGUCAAAACUAUAUCACCAGGGUGUUUCUCUUUUUCAUUACAGCAGUCAACUCCAUUUUAUUUAUAUUUUGCAGCGAAAUGACUUAAAUCAAAUGUGCUUGGGCACAGAGGAAAUCUGACCUGAAAGAGAGUUUCUGUGGCAGAAUGAGAGCCAGCAGAUACUUAUUUCCUGCCUUUCUGAGGCCAGUAACAUUCUGGUACAAGGGGAUUCAUCAAUACAUCUUUCAUAAGGGCUUCUCUGCACAGUGAGGUGGAAAAUCUUUCCAAUGACUCCGGCCCAUUUGUAACUUUGCCCUGAAUAAAAGAAGGGAUUGAUCGAGGCUUGGACUGCUUCCUUGCCCAGGGGCCCUCCUGCACCCUGGGAGGCAGAGUCUACAAAUGGCAUUCAAUUGGGCAAUUGCUCCUGGAGGCAGUGCCCAGGAGGGGCAAGCAUGGCCUCUGAAGAGUGGGCAUUGACAGGCUGCACGUGCUCAGCCUUCGUCUACUGGGUCUACAGAGGGACCGACGAUCGGAAGUCUCUACAUAAAAAAGGCUCAAAAAGAAUCACAGGGAAGGGGUGCCACCGGGAGUUCAGAAACAGCAGAUCCGUUUCCCCUUCCGGGGACGUCCAAUGCACAACGCAUGGUCGGUGUGACAGAGCCUCAGUGUGUCCAUCUAUUGGCAUUUCUUUUCUUUUCCUUUUUUAGGGCUGCACCUACAAUAUACAGAAGCCCCAGGCUAGGGAUCAAAUCGGAGUUGCAGCUGCUGGCCUACACCACAGCCACAGCAAUGCCAGAUCUGAACCACGUCUGCAACCUCCACCACAGCUCACGGCAAUGCUGGAUCCUUUACCCACUGAGCGAGGCCAAGGGAUCAAACCUGCAUCCUCAUGGACACUAGUCAGGUUUGUUUCCGCUGAGCCAUAAUGGGAACUCCUACUGGCAUUUCUUAAGAAGGCACAAUGAAUCAGCAGAACACAUCCAUGACCCCAACCUGCCAAAAUGGUAGUGAUGUUUUGAGUGCCCUGUUGCCUGGGAGACCAGGUGGCCUGAGUUCUGUCUUCUAUGCUGCUACUCGAGAACUAGCAACCUUUGAAAAUUAGAAUGCUCCCUGUGAGCCAGGCUUUCCUUUUCUACAAAACUGGCAUGAGACCGCUCAUCUCAGGGCAGCGGUUUUUCUAUUGGGGCAGGUGGGGGGGGCAAUUUUGCCUCCCAGGGUACUCUGGGUAAUGCCUGGAAAUGCUUUUGGUUUUCCACAACUGGACGAGGAGGGGUGGGAUGCCCUGACUUCUAGUAGGAAGAGGCCAGAGAGGCUGCUAAACAUCCUACAAGGAGCACAGCCCUCACGGCCCCCACAGAGCAAAGAAUGAUGCCAGCAGUAUGCCAGGGGUGACAAAACACGCCGUAAGUGGCCGUGUGACACCCCAGAGACUGAAACAAGGGGCGCAGCCCAGGGCCCUGCACAGGACCGGCCCAGAAUGAAGGGAGCUUCUGCCCUUCUCUUCUUCCAGAUCCUUCCGCGCCCCACCCACCCCCAUGAGGUGGGGGUCGGAUUCCACUUAGGACCGGCUCUUCUCACGGGGUUCCUCGAGGGCAGUUGCGGGGGUGGGCAGAGAAGAUCGACGCUCUCUGCGCCUCCUCAU